rnacentral:rRNA from 1 species
AUUGAACGCUGGCGGCAUGCCUUACACAUGCAAGUCGAACGGUAACGGGCCUUCGGGUGCCGACGAGUGGCGAACGGGUGCGUAAUACAUCGGAACGUGCCCGAUCGUGGGGGAUAACGAGGCGAAAGCUUUGCUAAUACCGCAUACGAUCUACGGAUGAAAGCAGGGGACCGCAAGGCCUUGCGCGGACGGAGCGGCCGAUGGCAGAUUAGGUAGUUGGUGGGAUAAAAGCUUACCAAGCCGACGAUCUGUAGCUGGUCUGAGAGGAUGAUCGGCCACACUGGGACUGAGACACGGCCCAGACUCCUACGGGAGGCAGCAGUGGGGAAUUUUGGACAAUGGGCGCAAGCCUGAUCCAGCCAUGCCGCGUGCAGGAUGAAGGCCUUCGGGUUGUAAACUGCUUUUGUACGGAACGAAAAGCCUUCUUUUAAUACAGGAGGGUCAUGACGGUACCGUAAGAAUAAGCACCGGCUAACUACGUG